GUCUAGGACCCCUGGGUGGUCGCGCAAAUCCCGAACGAGCCCCCAAAUGAAAGACCCCUGAAGGGAGACCCUCACUCAAGUCUCGGGAACUUUGCGCACCCAGUGGGACAAUGAGACCG
rnacentral:pre_miRNA from 7 species